rnacentral:tRNA from 1 species
CUGCAGUCUCACCAUCAACCCCCAAAGCUGAAGUUCUAUUUAAACUAUUCCCUG